rnacentral:misc_RNA from 1 species
GAUGAAGAACGCAGCGAAAUGCGAUAAGUAAUGUGAAUUGCAGAAUUCAGUGAAUCAUCGAAUCUUUGAACGCACAUUGCGCCCCCCAGUAUUCUGGCGGGCAUGCCUGUUCGAGCGUCAUUUCAACCAUCAAGCCCUGCUUGUGUUGGGGUCCUGCGGCUGCCCGCAGGCCCUGAAAACCAGUGGCGGGCUCGCUAGUCACACCGAGCGCAGUAGCACAUCUCGCUCAGGGCGUGCGGCGGGCUCCAGCCGUUAAAGCACCCACCUUUCGCAAGGUUGACCUCGGAUCAGGGAGGAAUACCCGCGGAUCUUAAGCAUAUCAAUAAGCGGAGGA